AAGCAUGUUUGGGGUAGUGUUGUACGGGGCUUGACUCAGCUUUAUCCUGGUAGUCAACUUCCGGAGAAGCUUGUCUCUAACAUUCGCAAGCAUUACGACUCUUUUCCUCUCAGCUAUGGGCAAGCUGGAUUCGAAAUGAAGGAUGUGUUUCUACAUAUUAGAUUGAUAGAGCAGGCAUCUGCAGAGGACCACCCAGCCAUUAUGAUACAAGAGGUGUCUGAUGAUGAAGUCCAAGGGUCGAUUUUCAAGUUGACAUUUGCAUGUAACUCCUCUAUUUCAUGGCCUACAAUGUCCGGGGCACUCGACAGCGCCUCAAUUUGCUGCAAAAAGAUACAGAUCUUUGAAAAGAAAGGUUUUACAU
rnacentral:misc_RNA from 1 species